UUACAUAAAUAUUUGAGUGUAAU
rnacentral:snRNA from 1 species